AUGGAGGAGAUCAAAGCGCUCAUCAAGUCCUACAAGCGAUCUUCCUCAUCUUCGAGAAGACGCUCACGAGCACAUCCUUCCGAGCUACCAUCUCCGGUAAGAUCACAUCGGCAUCGACACCAUCACCACCAAGAACGUGAAGGUCAAGAGCUCAACGCCAACUACCGCUCAACGACUUCACCAUCUCCCUUGGCAUCUUCACCAAGCAACUUCAAGGCAUCUUCGCCUACGGACAUACGACAUCUUUGGCAACAAGCACCCCAAGACUACGCUCAAGAGAAGCUCCCCAAGCUCAAGUCCGCGACUUCCAUGAGCUACUAUGACCUCAACACCGACCACAUGAUUCCUUUCUAUGGAACUCAAGAAUCCGAGGAGUAUCUCGAGUGGGAGCGCCUCAUGGACGACUACCUCAAGCUACAAGUUCCUCCCGAAGAUCAAGUGAAGUGCGCCACAAGGAACUUCCACGACUACGCGUCCACAUGGUGGCUUCACACACAUUCGGAGAGCUACGACAUGAGUUGGCCCAAGAUGAAGAGAGCUUUGCGGCGAGAGUUCGUGCCUCCAACCUACACGGAACAACUUCUACGCCAAUUGGAGAACACCAUCCAAGGAUCCAAGUCCAUCGACACAUACUUCAAGGAGAUGAAGAAUGCAUUGCGACGAGCUGGCAUGGACGACCCCAUGUCAAUGAAGUUCCACUUCAUGAUGGGAUUGAACAACGAUAUCUCCAAGACUAUCUUCCUCGAGAACUAUAAGUCCCUCGACGACAACUACAUUGGUGCUCUCAAGGCGGAACAAGAACUCAUGAAGGCCAAGGCUCCUCUACCCCAAGCACACUUCUCGAAGACCAAGCUCCAAGACGACGAGCAUGAGGCUAGUACCACCAUGAUGUCCAAGCCCGAUGAUGCUCCCGAGUUCGACUUUACCGCCAUCCCUCUUUGUGGCCUUUAUGGUGCCGAGUCUACUUUGACUCUUUUUCAAGAUGGUGCGGCGACGACUACGACUUCAGAGCCAUUCAAGGACCAAGCUUUGGAGGAGAAUGACAUGGUGAUGAGAAAGAAUGAUGCUUCCAUCUUUGGAAGUGAGUGUGCCAUCUUCGGCCUUCAUCCACGGCAACGGCGAUGA
rnacentral:rRNA from 1 species